rnacentral:lncRNA from 1 species
AUGCUAGUCUCUUUCUGCUGCCUCCUGCACAGGUGUUUGUGGCCAAGAGCAGUGAAGGACUGGCCCCUCAGAAGUGCACGCCCAGCCCUGCUUGGUCCCAGUUCUAGGAUUGGUGGCAGAAAUGAAAAAUCUGAAGUCCUGAGGAAAAAACCAAAGGAGUCACAUCCCUGGGGAUCCCGUCAGGCCCUCCCUUCGAGUUAAAUCUGGUGCCAUCUUGGAAGCAGCACUUUAGCACAAAGGCAGCCGUUUCCAGGGCUGUACCCAAGGCACAUGGAGGUUCCCAGGCUAGGGGUCGAAUCAGAGCUACAGCUGCCAGCUUACACCAGACACAGCAACACACGCUCCAAGCCGCAUCUGUGACCUACACCACAGCUCACGGCAAUGCUGGAUCCUUAACCCACUGAGCAAGGUCAGGGAUCGAACCUGAAUCCUCAUGGAUCCGAGCCACAACAGGAAGACCCAAGAUGUUAAUAUUAACAUCAGUGAAUCCAGAGGAGGAAUAUACUGUUCAAAAUAUGUACUAUUUCAGCUUUUUCACAGAAUUGCGAAGUUUGAACGAAACAGUGUGUAAUUAACUUUUUCCAGAACGUGGAAUUUACCAUCUGGUUGAAGCAGUAAAAUACCUGGCCACUGA